rnacentral:rRNA from 1 species
UUAAGCGACUAAGCGUACACGGUGGAUGCCCUGGCAGUCAGAGGCGAUGAAGGACGUGCUAAUCUGCGAUAAGCGUCGGUAAGGUGAUAUGAACCGUUAUAACCGGCGAUUUCCGAAUGGGGAAACCCAGUGUGUUUCGACACACUAUCAUUAACUGAAUCCAUAGGUUAAUGAGGCGAACCGGGGGAACUGAAACAUCUAAGUACCCCGAGGAAAAGAAAUCAACCGAGAUUCCCCCAGUAGCGGCGAGCGAACGGGGAGGAGCCCAGAGCCUGAAUCAGUGUGUGUGUUAGUGGAAGCGUCUGGAAAGGCGCGCGAUACAGGGUGACAGCCCCGUACACAAAAAUGCACAUACUGUGAGCUCGAUGAGUAGGGCGGGACACGUGGUAUCCUGUCUGAAUAUGGGGGGACCAUCCUCCAAGGCUAAAUACUCCUGACUGACCGAUAGUGAACCAGUACCGUGAGGGAAAGGCGAAAAGAACCCCGGCGAGGGGAGUGAAAAAGAACCUGAAACCGUGUACGUACAAGCAGUGGGAGCCUCUUU